rnacentral:rRNA from 1 species
GACGAACGCUGGCGGCGUGCCUAACACAUGCAAGUCGAACGGAACUGUUUUGAAAGAUUUCUUCGGAAUGAAUUUGAUUUAGUUUAGUGGCGGACGGGUGAGUAACGCGUGAGUAACCUGCCUUCAAGAGGGGAAUAACAUUCUGAAAAGAAUGCUAAUACCGCAUGACAUAUCGGAACCACAUGGUUUUGAUAUCAAAGAUUUUAUCGCUUGAAGAUGGACUCGCGUCCGAUUAGUUAGUUGGUGAGGUAACGGCUCACCAAGACCGCGAUCGGUAGCCGGACUGAGAGGUUGAACGGCCACAUGGGGACUGAGACACGGCCCAGACUCCUACGGGAGGCAGCAGUGGGGGAUAUUGCGCAAGGGGGGCAACCCGGACGCAGCAACGCCGCGUGAAGGAUGAAGGUUUUCGGAUUGUAAACUUCUUUUAUUAAGGACGAAAAAUGACGGUACUUAAUGAAUAAGCUCCGGCUAACUACGUG